rnacentral:rRNA from 1 species
GAUGAACGCUGGCGGCGUGCCUAAUACAUGCAAGUCGAGCGGAGCGGCGGAAGGGUGAGUAAUGCCUAGGAAUCUGCCUGGUAGUGGGGGAUAAAGUCCGGAAACGGGCGCUAAUACCGCAUACUAUCAGAUGAGCCUAGGUUGGAUUAGAUAGUUGGUGGGGUAAAGGCCUACCAAGGCGACGAUACGUAACUUGUCUGCGCGGAUGUGCAGUCACACUGGAACGGUGACACGGUCCAGACUCCUACGGGAGGCAGCAGUGGGGAAUAUUUGACAAUGGGCGAAAGCCUGAUCCAGCCAUGCCGCGUGUGUGAAGAAGGUCUUCGGAUUGUAAAGCACUUUAAUUUGGGAGGCGUUACCAACAGACUAAGCACCGGCUAACUUCGUGCCAGCAGCCGCGGUAAUUC